UGACAUGGAAGAUUGAACACUACAGUUUGU
rnacentral:piRNA from 1 species